rnacentral:rRNA from 1 species
GACGAACGCUGGCGGCGUGCUUAACACAUGCAAGUCGAACGGAAAGGCCCUGCUUUUGUGGGGUGCUCGAAUGGCGAACGGGUGAGUAACACGUGAGUAACCUGCCCUUGACUUUGGGAUAACUUCAGGAAACUGGGGCUAAUACCGGAUAGGAGCUCCGGCUGCAUGGUGGGGGUUGGAAAGUUUCGGCGGUUGGGGAUGGACUCGCGGCUUAUCAGCUUGUUGGUGGGGUAGUGGCUUACCAAGGCUUUGACGGGUAGCCGGCCUGAGAGGGUGACCGGCCACAUUGGGACUGAGAUACGGCCCAGACUCCUACGGGAGGCAGCAGUGGGGAAUAUUGCACAAUGGGCGGAAGCCUGAUGCAGCAACGCCGCGUGCGGGAUGACGGCCUUCGGGUUGUAAACCGCUUUCGCCUGUGACGAAGCGUGAGUGACGGUAAUGGGUAAAGAAGCACCGGCUAACUACGUG